rnacentral:rRNA from 1 species
CACGUAGUUAGCCGUGGCUUAUUCAAGGGGUACCGUCUUCUGCUCUUCCCCCUUAAAGGAAGUUUACAACCCGAAAGCCUUCUUCCUUCACGCGGCGUUGCUGGGUCAGACUUGCGUCCAUUGCCCAAUAUUCCCCACUGCUGCCUCCCGUAGGAGUCUGGGCCGUAUCUCAGUCCCAAUGUGGCCGGCCAACCUCUCAGUCCGGCUACUGAUCGUCGCCUUGGUGGGCCGUUACCUCACCAACUAGCUAAUCAGACGCGAGGCCAUCUUCCAGCGAUAAAUCUUUGACAUGUCUGUGAUGCCACAGUCAUGCGUCAUGCGGUAUUAGCAGUCGUUUCCAACUGUUGUCCCCCUCUGGAAGGCAGGUUCCUCACGCGUUACUCCACCAGUCCGCCACUAAGCAACUCAAUCCAUUGUCCGAAAACUCUUUUCAUGAGCGCUCCGUUCGACUUUGCAUGUGUUAAGCACGCCGCCAGCCGUUCGUCCUUGACGCCGAGGAUCGUAAA